rnacentral:rRNA from 1 species
CGGACGGGUGAGUAAUACUUAAGAAUCUGCCCAUUAGUGGGGGACAACAUUCGGAAACGGAUGCUAAUACCGCAUACGCCCUACGGGGGAAAGCGGGGGAUCUUCGGACCUCGCGCUAAUGGAUGAGCCUAAGUCGGAUUAGCUUGUUGGUGAGGUAAUGGCUCACCAAGGCGACGAUCCGUAGCUGGUCUGAGAGGACGAUCAGCCACACUGGGACUGAGACACGGCCCAG